GGUGUGUAUGGGGUGGAGUGAGGGUGUGUGUGAGGGUGUGGUACGUCAAAGUGUGUGUUUAUGUCCUGGUGGCACGCAGCAGCCGUCUGCACAUAAAUAGGAGCACGUCGAUGGAACUUUCCCCAGGAACUAGGAACCUUUGGAGGAACUCUAUGCGAGUGAUUCUCUGACCAGUUUCAGUGGUGGCCCUGUCAGCAGUCCACAUGGUGGAGAUGUGCCGUCAGAAAUCUCCUCUCUCCCUCCUCGCCUCUCUGACUGCUUAAAACCCUGGAGGAAAAGCUUGUACGAACCAGCCAGACUAUCAGACUCCAAGAGCACCGGGACCCCCCCCCACCCCACCCCAAACCCUCAUCAUUUCCCCCCUCCACAUGAGUCAAAGAGCCCUUCUUCUCCAUGCCAGCUGACUGCAGGAGCAAAGAGAGGAGAGUGGCCUGGGGAGUGCAGGGGGGCAGGGCAGUUUCGGGGGUGUGUUGGGGGUGGAUCAUAGAGGGGGACGUGAUAGAGGAGAGAGAUGAUUAUAAACUGAUCUCUGUUGUGCUGUACACUCGCUGACUAAUCACCUGCACUGAACAGCGACUGUCCAAUCACAGCUUAGCAACCGUAACUAGGCACGGCAGGCCUGUCAAACUUCGGACUUCUCUGCAUGCUGCUGAAACAGUGUGCAUGGGGCUUUAAUAAGAGCGAUACUCGGCAUUCAAAGAGUUUGGAUAAUGGUGUCUUUUUACAAAACCAAAGCACAAAAGGAAGAGUGAAAUCCUGUAACGGGAUUAAACUGUGUUUAUCUGCUAAGCUGUAAAUGUAAGCAGAUCUGCAUUACGAGCUUACCACCCACAACAGUAGUAACCUAACCCUCAUUCCAAUAGAUGACUACAUUUGGUGAGGUUACAGUUUGUAUUAAAAAGAAAGCCUCGUUCAUGAUGUUAGGAAGCUCCCUCAUUAACUCUUAUGUGGUGUAUGUUGUAAGUUGCAGGGUUCUCGCAUUUAACUGGGUGGUGUUGUAAUGUACAGUAUCUGUGCUUAAAUGUUGAACUAUGAGAGAGAAAAGAGUCGAACUAGCACUGUACUGGGUUGCUUGAAAAACAAAAAUGUUCCCUCCCUUUGGAUCUGUUAUAAAAAUGGCUAACCAAACUAAUAUUAACUGAGUUAGCUGGUUAGCCACAGCUAAUAAAAUCAUUUCAGCUGGCAAACUUGACAGUCGCUGAGCUAAAAAUAAGAAGCUGCUUUUGUCUACCUCUGUGAAAUCAAGGACACACACUUUAAAUACAAGGAAUUUCAAAGGUAAAUCUGCCACCAUUAAUGCUAUAAACUAUGGCAUUAAAGUUUGACAGGCACAGCAACAGGAAGUGAAGGACCUGAUUAGGAUUUUUUCCUACAAAAAUGUGAAAAAAAUGUAUUUAUUCUCUCAAUUAUUGCACAAUAUUUGGUCUACUGCGAUUCAUUGAGUAACAGCACAACAAGAAGCUGCAAUAAAAUA